GUGGGUUCAAGUUUUCGGACGAGAACCUGCGGGUGAGAGUGGCGAAAGGGUGAGUAGCGCGUGGGUAAUCUACCUCCAAGUUCGGGACAACCCCGCGAAAGCGGGGCUAAUACCGGAUGUGGAUGUCUUGCGCAUGUAGGAACAUCUGAAGGCGGGGACCCUUCGGGGCCUGUCGCUUGGAGAGGGGCCCGCGUCCUAUCAGCUUGUUGGUGAGGUCACGGCUCACCAAGGCUUACGGGUAGCUGGUCUGAGAGGAUGGUCAGCCACACUGGGACUGAGACACUGCCCAGACUCCUACGGGAGGCUGCAGUCGAGGAUCAUUCGCAAUGCGCGAAAGCGUGACGAUGCGACGCUGCGUGGAGGAUGAAGGCCUUCGGGUCGUAAACUCCUGUCACUCGGGAACAACGGGCCGGUUCCGAACAGGGGCCGGAUGUGAUAGUACCGAGAGAGGAAGCCACGGCUAACUCUGUGCCAGCAGCCGCGGUAAGACAGAGGUGGCAAGCGUUGUUCGGAUUUA
rnacentral:rRNA from 1 species